rnacentral:rRNA from 1 species
GACGAACGCUGGCGGCGUGCUUAACACAUGCAAGUCGAACGAUGAAGCCCAGCUUGCUGGGUGGAUUAGUGGCGAACGGGUGAGUAACACGUGAGUAACCUGCCCUGGACUCUGGGAUAACCCCGAGAAAUCGGAGCUAAUACCGGAUAGGACCUUGGAUCGCAUGAUUCUUGGUGGAAAGUUUUUCGGUUUGGGAUGGACUCGCGGCCUAUCAGCUUGUGGGUGAGGUAAUGGCUCACCAAGGCGUCGACGGGUAGCCGGCCUGAGAGGGUGACCGGCCACACUGGAACUGAGACACGGCCCAGACUCCUACGGGAGGCAGCAGUGGGGAAUAUUGCACAAUGGGCGCAAGCCUGAUGCAGCAACGCCGCGUGCGGGAUGACGGCCUUCGGGUUGUAAACCGCUUUUAGUAAGGAAGAAGGGGCUUCGGCCCUGACGGUACUUGCAGAAAAAGGACCGGCUAACUACGUGCCAGCAGCCGCCGUAAUAC